GAAGUGAGCAAGGGAGGUCAUUCGCAAUUCUGUCACUCCUAAAUUUGUCUGAACCUUUUUGGAAGGCAUUUGUAUUUCCUGCCAGCACCACCUCUUGGGGGUGAUGAAUUCCAAUAAGUUUCAAUCCGUUUAUUACUCACUGUGAGAGAAAUUGCUUCCUUUUAUGUCUGGAACUAAACCUGGAUCACAUUUCACAGGAUAUCCCCUAGUCACAGAGUUUUGGAAUCUGACCUGGAGGCAAAGGUAUGGAUGAGAUCACAUAGCAAGGAGAUUGCUGCUGAGAAGGAGUCAAAGCCUGGGUUUUACUUGUGGCCUUGCUGCUACACCAACUUUACUGACAUGCCAUUCUGGGAUAGUCUUUUCUCUCUGAGGCUUCAAGAGAAGAUGAGAAUACAUUCCAUCCCUACCUCUUGGAGUCAUUGUGAGGACUCAGAUGAAGUGCAGCAUCACGCAACAGAACUCAGAUGCCCUCACUGCAUCUCAAAUGCACUCAGCAGGCUGCCAUGCUGUGAGCUGCCCUAUGGAGAAGUCCACAUGGCAAGGAACUGAGGGAUACCUUCAGCCAACAGCCAAUGAGGAACUGAUGCUCCCAGAGAACAGCCUGUAGGAAACUAAUUCCUGCUAACAACCUUCAGAUGACUGCAGGUCUGGCUGGCAACUCAACUGAAGCCUGAGAGAGAUCCUGAAGCAGCGGGUGCAGCUAAGCCUCUGCUGGAUUCCCAUUAGACAGAAACUAAUGUAAAGUUUUAUGAGGACAAAACUCUUGCUUAUCAUUGUGUUCCCUCGUGCCUAGAAGAGUGCCUGACAUUAAGUGGGUGCUCACGUUUGGUAGGUAUUUGUGAAGGAAUAAAUAUUGCAACCCAUAAAAAGAAUGAAUAGUCAUGCAGAUCCAAUAUGGGGAAGGCUUCCAAAAUAUAACAUUAUGGCGGGAGAGAAAAGCAAGUUGCAAGGCAAUCUAUAUAUAUCAUGAUCCCCCUUUCAUAUCUGAAAGUUUGCAUAUGCAAUGAAAAAUGUCUGAAAAGAUACAGAUCAAAGUGUGAAUAGUGGUUUUCCCUACAAGAUAAAAUUAUGGAGCCACACUGUCUUAAACAUUUCUUUAAUUUUUAAUGGUUUUAUAAUUAUUCUAGAAUCAGAAAAAUUCAAUGAAGACAUUUUAUAGAAUUCUUAAGGCCAACCAGCCACUUGCUCUUCAGUGUUCCUGUGUCUUCUCUUGGCAGACCUCCAAAGAGGCUACCUGCUGCUAGUCUGAACCCAGCAGCCUUAGACUUUUUCCUUAUGGUGGCCAGAACCAUUCUCCCUGCACCUCACCCAGCCAGCCUCCAGUCUCCAGGCAGUGCACAGGAAGAGCUCCCACAUGACAGACUGUCAGAAACCUAGCAUGUUUUCUGUGAAUAUUUCUUGGCAAUAAUUACUGAAUAGGAAAUAGGGAGUUGAAGAGAAAUAAAAAUACAGUACAGCAAAAAUAACUGUUUUUGCAGUUCAGCCUUGAAGGGAUAAAGGCUGCCGAGUAGCUGAUGGAUGGAGCACACUGCGCUGAUCCUCUGCUUUGCUUGAGGGCGAAGUUCUCAUGGGGACACUAAGGCUGGGCUUCAUGGAAAGCUCCAGUGAGAUCCCUGGACACAUAUCAGAUUUCUCCCUGGUUAUGCUGAGUGUAUCUGUGCAGGAAGGUACUCAGAGUGCUCCAUCUAAAGCCCAGCAUUCCCUGUAGACUAAGAGUCAGUGUGGGAGAGAGGUGGGGGCGGGCAGCCUUGUCAUUCUUCCCCUCACAACUUGGCUUGGGCAGUUUUUCAUCUCCUUGCUAUGUUAUCAACUCUCCACUGCCUCACCCACUAUAUCCUAUAUGCUCUUAAAUUUGCUGUAUAUGUUGACUGGGAGGCAAGGUAAGCCUCCAAGAGGAGAGCUGAUCAUAAUCCUGAAAGACACAAUCCAGAGUGCCACCAUCCUGAAUGUGGAAAUCCUGAAAGAUCACAAUCCCAAAAAUAUAACUCUGAGAAAAACAAUAAAAAAGUAUUUUAAAGAUAUUUAAAAGGGAAUUUAUUUGAGAAACAAAAAUGCAACAGAACACUUCACAGGCCACUUUAUACAAUAAAAGAGUCAAUAACAUACACAUUUUUGGAGGCAUAAAAAUUCAGAUAUACUAAUGACAGCCACAUGGAUAUAACAAUUAUGAGCAGAUGAACUGUAUUCAUAAAGAAAUAGGUGAAAAAGGGAAAUAUAUAAACACAUAUCACUAUGGUUGUGUACGCAGCCUUAUAACUGCAGUCAUAUGAAAUACUGUUAUGAGCAACCUAACAGUAUUUUAAAGAGAUCAAUAAAAAAACAAAACCAUGUUGGGUCACCAUCACAUAUGCAGUCUCCCAAAGAGCCGAGAUCUUGAGACAUUUCUCACAAAAGCAGAUGUAGCAAAAGAACAUCUCUUCAUUUAUUGAGGAAAUUUCAACAUUUUUACUUACAUGCACAAUGCUUACACACAAAGUCAACGUUAUGAUAAUGCAUUUUCUGGAGUCAAAUCUGCAAAAAAAUGUGUAAAACCAAUUAGAACUCUCCAAAAGUCUCUAUGCAAUUUAUAUCUUCAAUAUUGAAAAUGAUGUAAAGAUGAAAUACAUAGCCUAGCAAAUUGUAAAAUACAACAUUAACAAUUUAAAAUAAUGAAAAAGACUAACAAAAAGAAAAGAAAAACAUUAGACAUGAAAAGUAUAUUAAGUGGAUAGAUAAUGGCAAUUGCACAGAGGUUGUCCAUAAGGCUGGCUAACCUUCACUAUCAUUGACUAUAUUUUGAAGUCUUGCAUCACGAUGAAUAGCUGCUUUUUUCUAUUAGGACAUGGCUUUCCUCAGAGAAUAUUUUCAUAUUCAUUUUCUAUGUAGUGCUGCUCUUUUUGAUAUUCUUCUGUGAUUCGAUAUGCAACAACAUGAACAUUUCCUGUUAAACUUUCCCAUCUUCUGUUUAGGAAUUUUGAUCUCUAGGGAUUUCAGUAUUUGGGAUGAUGGUGUUUGGAAUUGUGUCUUUCAGGUUUAUGAUCCAAACCCCUCUGAGAGCAGGGACACAAGAUGUUGUGUCCUCUGUGGUAUCCUCAGGGCCUGUUAUACUGACAGCACAAGUAGAGACUCAAGCAGUGUGGUUGGCAGAAUGAAUGGCCACUCUCACAUUUGUGUAUGUCCUUUCUAAAGUGUGCUCCAGCAUGGCAUGGUCUGACACUACGGAGUAGAGCAGGAUUGUACACACCUUCUUUCUACAUUCUAUACUUCCAUAAAUGUAAUCUAAGAGCAGAUUUUUUGGGCAGCCAAUUAAACAGUUAUAAAACUUGUUCCUCCAACCUUUUCUUCUUAAAGAAGAUGUCAGCUAUUAUUUCUUUAAAUGUCACUUUAAUGAUGAAAUAUUUCAAACAUAUUAUAUUUAAAAUAUUCUGAACAUAGCAAGUCCUCAUGGACCUGCCUCUGGA